CUUAUUGUUUAUAAUUUGUCCUAUUUGUUCUGUCUUAUCUGCCACCUUUAUUUCAGUAUUAUCAGUUCACCCACCCAGCAAUGACCUUUGCAGCAUGUUUUCCCUCCAGUUCAAAAUACAAUUAAGGAUGACAUAUUUUGGAUCCUUUACUUACAAUGUUUCUUUAGUCUCCUUUAAUUUGGAACAGCUCCCAGGAGCCGGAAGACACUUGAAGGAAAACUCUCAGAAAGUAAUUCGACACCAUCCUCCUAGGGGGAAACGUUGGGCAGGAAAGAGAUCAGAGUGGAGCUGGAGACUCCCAUGCAAAAUUCACUGACCAUCUUCCCAGAUAGAGGGGAGUGACAUGAAGUUCCCAGCUCUCCUUCAUUUUUGGUCUUUCGGCAUCACCACAAGGCCAGGAAGAGGAUCAGUGACCGGGAGAUGGAACACUUAACAGGAAGCAAUUUAAGACACUGUCAGUACUUUGGCCACCUCAUGCGAAGAGUUGACUCAUUGGAAAAGACUCUGAUGCUGGGAGGGAUUAGGGGCAGGAGGAAAAGGGGACGACAGAGGAUGAGAUGGCUGGAUGGCAUCACUGACUCGAUGGAUGUGAGUCUGAGUGAACUCCGGGAGUUGGUGAUGGACAGGGAGGCCUGGGCGUGCUGCAAUUCAUGGGGUCGCAAAGAGUCGGACACGACUGAGCGACUGAACUGAACUGAACUGUGCACCAGGAAGGCAUCAGAUGUAAUAUACAGAUAAGAUAAAGUAGCUUCCUCUCAGAAGCAUCCAUUUGGAAAGUUUGUUACCACACAGAAAAAAAAAUGUACAAUGUUAAGAACUAACCAUAAGGAAAAGUGAAAUUAAAUGCUGGUAAGUGAUACAAAAAGAAUAAGCAUUAAGGAGGAACAAAUGCAUGUAUACAUGGCUCCGUUACUUUAAAAGAGUCUCAUAGCUGUCAAAGCACUUCAGGGAUGUUGUGGAUAAGCAAUGUCUUGAAUAUGACUUUUUUUUUUGUACACAAUAUUUUAAAGGAAACAAAAUCUGGGGAUUUUGCAAGUGCAGCCUUUUCACUAUGCAGUAUGUUAAUGCGUCAGAUUGGUUGUGCUGUGGAACAGCUUGAGGGAAUGGCAGUAUUUUAAUAAUAUUAUGUGGUAACCUGGCCUUUAUAAAUCGUCUUUGUUUACCUGCAAGAUGGUAUUAGCUUACAUACAGAAAUGUCACUUGUAUAGAUAUGUAUCCUUAUUUGACUCUUUAUUUGUAUUAACGAAGUAGCAUUAAUGUCUUUUUUUAAGGAGAAUAAUUAGAUUUGGAGGCGAGGAAUGAUGAUUGUUGAAGAUAAAAACAACUGUGACUGUAGUUGUGAGGGUUGAAUGUUGGCUCCGGUUAAUUCUUAUCAUUUUAUAUUUUUUCACCAUGAGAAGGCUGACUCAAUUUCUUACUAGUUACAACUGAAAGGCAACAAUAAUGGAGCAUCAUGGAAGUAUAUCUGCUGUCCUGUUUCUUUGUCUCGAGUUAUUCUAAAAUCUGUCUCACACACAUUAUUUAAAGAAGGGCCAUUGGGACAGAUGGAGAAACUAAAGCACGGAAGGCUUAGCUCUGAGCAGUGGUUAGCUCUAAGCUGCACUUAUUUAUGCUUCCUGCAGAGUGUAUUAAAAAAAACACUACAUGUUUUUACUCCAUUUUCGUGUUUUCUUCUCUGCAUCGAAUAAUUUCUGUAUAUGUUGAUUGGUUUUAAAAAUGCCUCCUGAAAGUCUGCGGGAAGGUGACAGUGCUGGCUACCACACACCCCCUCUCAACAGCAUCCGCUGCAGGAGCACUGUUGUCAGUCUUGUCCACUACGCUGAAUUAUGCAUAACUGGAGGGUUAGUUCUUGGCAUGGAAAAAGUGUG
rnacentral:lncRNA from 1 species